rnacentral:rRNA from 1 species
AUGAUUGACACGAACCUGCAAAUCAUGUGCUGAAAUGUACGUGGGCUCAAUUCGCCAGCCCGGCGAGCCAUAGUUUGCGAGGCAGCGGAAACGCACAAACUGGCCCUCCUCUGCCUGCAAGAAACAAAGAUCGACGAGUGGAAUAGAUCGCUAGUUAGGGAGGUGGGCGGAUGCAGACUAGCUGAUUGCGUCGUCCUCCCGGCGGAUGGCACCCAUGGUGGUGCGGCCAUUUUCUGGGACACAAGCCGCGUGGACAUGCAAUCCCACGCCAUUGGCCACUUCUCCAUCACGGCCAAGAUCACCCUGGCGGCAACGGCUAUCUCCUUUUGGAUGACAACGGUGUACGGCCCCGUCAACGAUGGGAGGAAGGACGAGUUCCUGGCUGAGCUAUCGCGAGCUGCACCUCCAGCAGACGCCCCCUGGCUCAUCAAUGGCGAUUUCAACCUCAUCUACGAGGCGCGAGACAAGAACAACAACACCAUAAACCGCAGAAUCAUGGGCAAAUUCAGGAAUGCUAUCGACGCCGCUGGCCUGAAAGAGAUCAAAUGCAAGAACAGAAGAUUCACAUGGAGUAAUGAGCGGACGGCACCAACCUUAGUUAGCAUAGACAAGUUCUUCUGCAAUAUGGCCUGGAGCUCCAUGUUCCCGUCAUAUCUUCUCCAUGCUGCCUCAACAUUGUGCUCCGACCACUGCCCCUUACUGCUGUCUGAAGCUUCUGCGCCUCGCCGCGUGGCCCGGUUUCGCUUCGAAUCCUUCUAG